GCCUGCGCACACACACACACACACACACACACACACACACACACACACACACACACACACACACACACACACACACACACACACACACACACACACACACACACACACACACACACACACACACAAAUAGGAGUAUACCAUUUAGCCAGCAGAGAGUGCUAUUAUAUCAGAACAGUUUCAACUGAAACAGUUGGAAACAUUAGUCACUAAUGCCCAAUUCCAUACCUACCCAUACCUCUGGCCCCUACCUUCCCCUGUCCAGGCUGACCAAAUGUUAAAUGUAAAGUUGUGUGAUAAGGAUGAUGAGAUGUGAUAAGGAUGAUGAGAUGUGAUAAGGAUGAUGAGGUGUGAUAAGGAUGAUGAGGUGUGAUAAGGAUGAUGAGGUGUGAUAAGGAUGAUGAGGUGUGAUCAGGAUGGUGAGGUGUGAUCAGGAUGGUGAGGUGUGAUAAGGAUGAUGAAGUGUGAUAAGGAUGAUGAGGUGUGAUAAGGAUGAUGAGGUGUGAUCAGGAUGAUGAGGUGUGAUAAGGAUGAUGAAGUGUGAUAAGGAUGGUGAGGUGUGAUAAGGAUGAUGAGGUGUGAUCAGGAUGGUGAGGUGUGAUAAGGAUGAUGAAGUGUGAUAAGGUUGAUGAGGUAUGAUAAGGAUGAGGUGUGAUAAGGUUGAUGAGGUGUGAUCAGGAUGAUGAGGUGUGAUCAGGAAGAUGAGGUGUGAUAAGGAUGAUGAAGUGUGAUAAGGAUGAUGAGGUAUGAUAAGGAUGAUGAGAUGUGAUAAGGAUGAUGAGGUGUGAUAAGGAUGAUGAGAUGUGAUAAGGAUGAUGAGGUGUGAUAAGGAUGAU